CUCCUUGUGGUUCAAUGGUAAAACGUCCGUUUCUCACGCUGGAGACCCGGGUUCGAUCCCCAGUCCUGAUA